CCUACGGGUGGCAGCAGUGAGGAAUAUUGGUCAAUGGACGAGAGUCUGAACCAGCCAAGUAGCGUGAAGGAUGACUGCCCUAUGGGUUGUAAACUUCUUUUAUAUGGGAAUAAAAUGUUCCACGUGUGGGAUUUUGUAUGUAACAUAUGAAUAAGGAUCGGCUAACUCCGUGCCAGCAGCCGCGGUAAUACGGAGGAUCCGAGCGUUAUCCAGAUUUAUUGGGUUUAAAGGGAGCGUAGGUGGAUUGUUAAGUCAGUUGUGAAAGUUUGCGGCUCAACCGUAAAAUUGCAGUUGAAACUGGCAGUCUUGAGUACAGUAGAGGUGGGCGGAAUUCGUGGUGUAGCGGUGAAAUGCUUAGAUAUCACGAAGAACUCCGAUUGCGAAGGCAGUUCACUGGACUGCAACUGACACUGAGGCUCGAAAGUGUGGGUAUCAAACAGGAUUAGAUACCCUGGUAGUC
rnacentral:rRNA from 1 species